rnacentral:rRNA from 1 species
UACGUAGGGCGCGAGCGUUGUCCGGAUUUAUUGGGCGUAAAGAGCUCGUAGGCGGCUUGUCGCGUCGACUGUGAAAUCCCGCGGCUCAACCGCGGGUCUGCAGUCGAUACGGGCAGACUAGAGUUCGGUAGGGGAGAGUGGAAUUCCUGGUGUAGCGGUGAAAUGCGCAGAUAUCAGGAGGAACACCGAUGGCGAAGGCAGGUCUCUGGGCCGAUACUGACGCUGAGGAGCGAAAGCGUGGGGAGCGAACAGG